rnacentral:lncRNA from 1 species
CUAUUCCUGAUCCCGACGACAAGAAGCCAGAGGACUGGGAUGAGAGAGCUAAAAUCCCUGAUCCAGAUGCCGUGAAGCCUGAUGACUGGGAUGAGGAUGCCCCAAUGGAAAUUGUGGAUGAGGAGGCCACCAAGCCUGAAGGAUGGUUGGAUGAUGAGCCUGAGGAAAUUGAUGAUCCAGAGGCUGCUAAGCCUGAGGACUGGGAUGAUGAGGAGGAUGGCGAAUGGGAGGCACCGAAGAUGGACAACCCCAAGUGCGAAGAGGCACCUGGAUGUGGUG